rnacentral:rRNA from 1 species
UACGUAGGGUGCGAGCGUUAAUCGGAAUUACUGGGCGUAAAGCGUGCGCAGGCGGUUCGUCGUGUCUGAUGUGAAAGCCCCGGGCUCAACCUGGGAAUGGCAUUGGAAACUGGCGGACUAGAGUGUGGCAGAGGGGGGUGGAAUUCCGCGUGUAGCAGUGAAAUGCGUAGAUAUAUGGAAGAACACCAAUAACGGCGAAGGCAGUUAACUAUUCUGUUACUGACAUUGAGGCACGAAAGCGUGGGGAGCAAAACGG